UAUAUUAAUUAUAUAAUUCUUCCCGAAAAAAAUAGAUCUACACUUUCUUAUUUUUAUUUUAGAAAAAUCUUUUUAAAUAAUGUUGCAUCAUUAUAAAAUAAAGUAGUGUAGGGGUGAAAUGCUUUCAAUUUUUUAGAUAUCUGGAUUAAACUUAAAUGAAUUUAGUUCAUAAAAUAACCAUAAAGUUGUAAGAUUUUAUGGGGGUAGAAUUUAAUAUAUUUUCUCUAGUACGAAAUAAAGUUUCAAGUUAAACUAAUAGAAAUAUAAUUUUUGUAUACAUUAAUCUAGCACAUAUUAAGUUUAUAUUUAAGAAAAUAUUACAUCUUAGCCAAAUAAUGUUAAAAUUAGUAAAAAUAUAAGAGUUAAACUGAAGGAACUCGGCAAAUAUGGUCUCCAACUAGUUUACCAAAAACAUAGCUUUAAGAAAAUUAUUUAAAGUUAAAUCUGCCCAGUGAUGAUUUUAACGGCCGCAGUACAUUGACUGUGCUAAGGUAGCAUAAUAAAUUGACUUUUAAAUGGAGUCGGGUAUGAAUGGAUUAUUGAAGACUUUCUGUCUCAUUUGUUUAUUAAAUUUAAUUUACUUAAAAGGUGAAAAUUCCUUUAUUUAUAUAUGAUAGACGAGAAGACCCUAAGAAUUAUAAUUAAGAAAAGAGUGUAGCUUUUAAAAAUUUUUGUUGGGGCAACAAGUUCGGCUAAACCGAUCUAAUACAUACAUUUUUACAUAAAAAUGAGUUUUAAAGAUGAUAUUAAUUACCUUAGGGAUAACAGCAUAAUUAUUUUAAUAGAUUGUGACCUCGAUGUUGGACUAAGGACUUUGAUUAAAUAGCCUUUAAUAAAGAUAGUUCUGUUCGAACUGAAAACCUUA
rnacentral:rRNA from 1 species